UGAACUUAAGCCCCAGUAAACGGCGGCCGUAACUAUAACGGUCCUAAGGUAGCGAAAUUCCUUGUCGGGUAAGUUCCGACCCGCACGAAAGGCGUAACGAUUUGGGCACUGUCUCAACAACAGACUCGGUGAAAUUGUAAUUCCGGUGAAGAUGCCGGAUACCUGCGACAGGACGGAAAGACCCCAUGGAGCUUUACUGUAGCUUGACAUUGGGUCUUGGUACUACAUGUACAGGAUAGGUGGGAGGCUUUGAAACCAGGACGCCAGUUUUGGCGGAGCCAUCCUUGGGAUACCACCCUUGUAGUACUGGGACUCUAACCAUAGGCCAUGAAUCUGGUCUUGGGACACUGUCAGGUGGGCAGUUUGACUGGGGCGGUCGCCUCCCAAAAGGUAACGGAGGCGCUCAAAGGUUCUCUCAGUACGGUCGGAAAUCGUACGUAGAGUGUAAAGGCAAAAGAGAGCUUGAUUGCAAGACAUACAGGUCGAGCAAGGAUGAAAAUCGGACUUAGUGAUCCGGUGGUUCUGCGUGGAAGGGCCAUCGCUCAACGGAUAAAAGCUACCCUGGGGAUAACAGGCUUAUCUCCCCCAAGAGUCCACAUCGACGGGGAGGUUUGGCACCUCGAUGUCGGCUCAUCACAUCCUGGGGCUGUAGUAGGUCCCAAGGGUUGGGCUGUUCGCCCAUUAAAGUGGUACGCGAGCUGGGUUCAGAACGUCGUGAGACAGUUCGGUCCCUAUCCGUCGCAGGCGUAGGAAAUUUGAGAAGACCUGUCCUUAGUACGAGAGGACCGGGAUGGACGUACCUCUGGUGUACCAGUUGUCCUGCCAAGGGCAUGGCUGGGUAGCUAUGUACGGAAUGGAUAAGCGCUGAAAGCAUCUAAGCGCGAAGCCAACUUCAAGAUAAGAUUUCCCACCGCAAGGGUAAGACCCCAGAAAGACUAUCUGGUUGAUAGGUCGAAGGUGUAAGUGCAGCAAUGUAUUUAGCUUAUCGAUACUAAUAG
rnacentral:rRNA from 1 species